rnacentral:rRNA from 1 species
UACAGAGGGUGCAAGCGUUGUUCGGAAUUAUUGGGCGUAAAGCGCGUGUAGGCGGCUUUGCAAGUCGGGUGUGAAAGCCCUCAGCUCAACUGAGGAAGUGCGCCCGAAACUGCAGAGCUUGAGUGCCGGAGAGGGUGGCGGAAUUCCCCAAGUAGAGGUGAAAUUCGUAGAUAUGGGGAGGAACACCGGUGGCGAAGGCGGCAUCCUGGACCAAUACUGACGCUGAGGAGCGAAAGCCAGGGGAGCAAACGGG